rnacentral:rRNA from 1 species
GAGUUUGAUUCUGGCUCAGAUUGAACGCUGGCGGCAUGCUUUACACAUGCAAGUCGGACGGCAGCACAGAGAAGCUUGCUUCUUGGGUGGCGAGUGGCGAACGGGUGAGUAAUAUAUUGGAACGUACCGAGUAAUGGGGGAUAACUUGCCGAAAGGUAAGCUAAUACCGCAUACGCUCUGAGGAGGAAAGCAGGGGACCUUCGGGCCUUGCGUUAUUCGAGCGGCCAAUAUCUGAUUAGCUAGUUGGUGGGGUAAAGGCCUACCAAGGCGACGAUCAGUAGCGGGUCUGAGAGGAUGAUCCGCCACACUGGGACUGAGACACGGCCCAGACUCCUACGGGAGGCAGCAGUGGGGAAUUUUGGACAAUGGGCGCAAGCCUGAUCCAGCCAUGCCGCGUGUCUGAAGAAGGCCUUCGGGUUGUAAAGGACUUUUGUCAGGGAAGAAAAGGUUGUGGCUAAUAUCCAUGACUG